UACGAGGGGGGCGAGCGUUGUUCGGAAUUAUUGGGCGUAAAGGGUGCGUAGGCGGUUUGGUAAGUCCGAUGUGAAAUCUAUGGGCUCAACUCAUAGUCUGCAUCGGAAACUGCCGGGCUUGAGUGUGGGAGAGGUGAGUGGAAUUCCUGAUGUAGCGGUGAAAUGCGUAGAUAUCAGGAGGAACACCUGUGGCGAAAGCGGCUCACUGGACCAUAACUGACGCUGAUGCACGAAAGCUAGGGGAGCAAACAGG
rnacentral:rRNA from 1 species